UCGGGAAUAUUGCGCAAUGGAGGAAACUCUGACGCAGUGACGCCGCGUGCAGGAAGAAGGUUUUCGGAUUGUAAACUGCUUUAGACAGGGAAGAAAAAAGACAGUACCUGUAGAAUAAGCUCCGGCUAACUACGUGCCAGCAGCCGCGGUAAUACGUAGGGAGCGAGCGUUAUCCGGAUUUAUUGGGUGUAAAGGGUGCGUAGACGGGAAAUUAAGUUAGUUGUGAAAGCCCACGGCUCAACUGUGGAAUUGCAACUAAAACUGAUUUUCUUGAGUAUUGGAGAGGAAAGUGGAAUUCCUAGUGUAGCGGUGAAAUGCGUAGAUAUUAGGAGGAACACCAGUGGCGAAGGCGACUUUCUGGACAAAAACUGACGUUGAGGCACGAAAGUGUGGGGAGCAAACAGG
rnacentral:rRNA from 1 species